GGAGGAUAGCGCUGGCAGGAACCACACCGUUGGUAAGGGUGAGGUCGGGAGUUCAAUCCUCCUUCACAGCACCA
rnacentral:tRNA from 1 species